rnacentral:misc_RNA from 1 species
GGUGGUGGAGGUGGAGGUGGAGGACCUCCACCAAUUGGAGGUGCUGAAGAAAAAGAUUUAUUGAAGGUUGGAGGUGGAGGUGGACAAGGAGGUGGCUGAGGAUUUCUAUUAGUAGUGAGAGCUGGAAAUGUGGUAGAAUCUCUGUUCGAAACACUGGGAAGAGGUGGCAAAGGAGGUGACUGAGGUCUAUUAAUGUUACUUGAGAGACCAAGACAUGGUAGUGGGGGAGGUGGGGGAGGAGACGGGGGCAGUUGUGCAACAGAUGGGGAAAGGAGAGUUGGAGGUGAUGAAGGAGGAGGAGUUGCUUCAUUUGGAAAUGAUAGCUGCUGAGGAAGGGAGGAUGGAAUAGUUUCAAUGGAAAUUUGCGCUGGAGGUUCUGAAACAUUAUUUGAAUCAUGAAGAGCAUCACCGUCAAUAGGUGAGAGAACUGAAUCGGCAGAAGUUUUGGGAAUAAGAUCAAAUGCUUCGUCUGAACUAUCAGCAGCACUAGAAGCAUUAUAUUCUUCUUCAGAGUCAAUAGGUGAUGCAUAUGAACUGCCUCUAUUUUGGAAUCUUGAAAAUUCUCUGGCAUCACUUAAGACAGAAAGUUGUUUAAGUAACCACAAGGCAGCGUCAUCAUUGUGAUUAACCCACUCGACCCCAUUGAAAAGUUCUUGAACCCUAGAAAAAGCUUCAAUUGGCAAUCCACCUUUCUCCUCACCAUUUAAAAUUGUAGUUGG